UACGAGUGCCUCAAGCGUUAUCCGGAAUCAUUGGGCGUAAAGCGCGCGUAGGUGGCUCUGUAAGUCCGUUGUGAAAGUCAAAGGCUCAACCUUUGAAAGCCGAUGGAUACUGCAGAGCUAGAGUACGGAAGAGGCGAGUGGAAUUCCUGGUGUAGCGGUGGAAUGCGCAGAUAUCAGGAGGAACACCAAUAGCGAAGGCAGCUCGCUGGGACGUUACUGACACUGAGGCGCGAAAGCGUGGGGAGCGAACAGG
rnacentral:rRNA from 1 species